rnacentral:rRNA from 1 species
AGCGAACGCUGGCGGCAGGCUUAACACAUGCAAGUCGAGCGGGCAUCCUUGUGGUGUCAGCGGCGGACGGGUGAGUAACGCGUGGGAACGUGCCCUUCGGUUCGGAAUAACUCAGGGAAACUUGAGCUAAUACCGGAUACGUGCGAGAGCAGAAAGGUUUAUCUGCCGAAGGAUCGGCCCGCGUCUGAUUAGCUAGUUGGUGAGGUUAUGGCUCACCAAGGCGACGAUCAGUAGCUGGUCUGAGAGGAUGAUCAGCCACACUGGGACUGAGACACGGCCCAGACUCCUACGGGAGGCAGCAGUGGGGAAUAUUGGACAAUGGGGGCAACCCUGAUCCAGCCAUGCCGCGUGAGUGAUGACGGCCUUAGGGUUGUAAAGCUCUUUUCUCCGGGACGAUAAUGACGGUACCGGAGGAAUAAGCCCCGGCUAACUUCGUG